rnacentral:rRNA from 1 species
CCUACGGGAGGCAGCAGUAGGGAAUCUUCCACAAUGGGCGCAAGCCUGAUGGAGCAACACCGCGUGAGUGAAGAAGGGUUUCGGCUCGUAAAGCUCUGUUGUUGGAGAAGAACGUGCGUGAGAGUAACUGUUCACGCAGUGACGGUAUCCAACCAGAAAGUCACGGCUAACUACGUGCCAGCAGCCGCGGUAAUACGUAGGUGGCAAGCGUUAUCCGGAUUUAUUGGGCGUAAAGCGAGCGCAGGCGGUUGCUUAGGUCUGAUGUGAAAGCCUUCGGCUUAACCGAAGAAGUGCAUCGGAAACCGGGCAACUUGAGUGCAGAAGAGGACAGUGGAACUCCAUGUGUAGCGGUGGAAUGCGUAGAGAUAUGGAAGAACACCAGUGGCGAAGGCGGCUGUCUGGUCUGCAACUGACGCUGAGGCUCGAAAGCAUGGGUAGCGAACAGGAUUAGAUACCCCAGUAGUC